rnacentral:tRNA from 1 species
GCUCGCGCUCGGCGGGCGGGGCGUCGCGCCCCGGGCUAGCGUCCCCGGCAUGACGUUCCAGGACGGCGGCCGGUUCGAGGGCGGGCGCGUGCA